rnacentral:tRNA from 1 species
GGCCCCAUGGUCUAGUGGCCUAGGACGCCGCCCUCUCACGGCGGUAACAGGGGUUCGAAUCCCCUUGGGGCUACCA